rnacentral:rRNA from 1 species
CCCUUAGAUGUUCUGGGCCGCACGCGUGCUACACUGAUAUUGCCAAUAUGUCAUUCUUAUCCGAAAUGGAUUGGGUAAUCAAGUAAUGAAAUUUCAUGCUUGGAAUCGGUAAUUGCAAUUUUAUCGUGAACGAGGAAUUCCUAGUAAGCACUAGUCAUCAGCUAAUGUUGAUUAUGUCCCUGCCCUUUGUACACACCGCCCGUCGCUACUACUGAUUGGGUGUUCAAGUGAGAUGCUUAGACCCUUGUUGCAUGGUUCAUUAUUGUGCUCCGAAAGGAAAAAGUUUCAAGCUUGAGUGUCUAGAGGAAGUAAAAGUCGUAACA